rnacentral:lncRNA from 1 species
CUUUUUUGCUGAAUCUUAUUGAUCCAGAAGGUGGCUAAUUAGCCCUUCCCGUCGUGCCUGGCUCCCACUUCCAGCGCGUCCCCUCCGACCGCUGCAGCCGCCACCGCCGCCGCCUCCUCCUCCUCCUCCUCCCGGCCGCAGCCGCCGCCGCCGCCUGCUUUGCAUCCCAAUUACAGCCUAGAGCCGCUGCCGCCGCCGCCGCCGCUUCUCUUCCGUGGCCCCUGCCCGCUCCGGGGGCUGUAAACUCCCCGCCAACCAUGCUGCUCGGCG